UAGGAUGAUUAUUUUCCUUUUCUCUUGUAUUUGGUUACCAAUGAUGUACUUCUUUGGUGUAAAAAAAGAUAUUUUCCAGAUAUUAUUGAUGAGAUGUUUUCAUAUGUGAUAAAAGUAUAGUAUUUCCCAAAAUUGGCAAAUAGAACUCUAAAGUUCCUCUGAUAUAAAAAAAAUCAUAUGCACAAGCAUUGCAUACAUCAUGUGCAUAAGCA
rnacentral:lncRNA from 1 species